GUGUAAUGUUUUCUUUAUUGAUUUAAUGUAUCUUUUAUGCAUUAGUUAAAAAAAAAAAUUAGCAUUGUGCACUUCUUCUCUAUAUUCUCUAUAAGUGUGGAAAAUUUCAUACUCCUCCGUCCGCGCAAUUUUCGUAAAAAGGGAUACAAAGUUUUUGCUUCACGUAUUAAUAUAUAGAUUAUAACAUGUGUCAAGAAGUUGGCACCUGUCAGUGUAUUGAAUACCUAAAUAUAAAUCAUUACAAAAUCUUCCUAGUUCGAACGAAAAUAUAACUUGGGCAGUUGCAAACGAGUCAUGAUAUACAUCUCCACAUCACCGGGGCAACAAAACACGAAAAUAGCCGUAAAUCAAACGACAAAAUCAACAAUUUCCGCUCCGUAAUAAAAACAGACUGUACACAGACAGCUCUGUAAUAAAUUCCCGUAAUUAAUACCUGCAAGCGAUUCGUGAUUAGAAUUUCAAAUAGCACCUUAUUUCGUUGGGGCCACUUAAUUAUUUACGAGAUAAAGCGGGGAAGCGUCAGAUUGAUUGAAUUAUGUUUAACGAAUCACUCGGCUUCAGGUUUCGGUUUUCGGUUAGCCGAAAACAACAGAGAGCUGCCGUGAACGAAAAUAAAAUUAUGAAAACUGUGUUCCACACGCUGUGUUUCCAGCUCUUGGGAUAAACAACAAUGGAAAUCCGAAAUAAACACAUGCAUGAUUUAUACGUUAAUUGACUGUGCAAUUCUUGGCUCGAAAAGAACGUGAAUAUUUGAGAAUGCCUCGCUGAAGCCAUUGUCUUGUUAGGGAAGGCGCUGUUCAAAUAAAUUUCACCCAAAAAUUG